GGGGCCGACCGGUUUUGACAACAUGAGUUGGUUGUUUGGUAAGCGUGUCGAGCGUUGGAAGUUUGCUCGUACAAAUCAAUUUCCAAGCCUAUAAAUGGCGAAAACAAUUACGCUCUCGCAGCUUAAUAGUCUAAGACUAUAAAGUUUAAUUCUGAAGUGAAGUACAGUAGCUCAGAACGAGUACCCUUCAGCUUAUCCGUCUUAUAUAGGCUGAAAUCUGGGUAUCAAUCUUUAAGACUAGGGGGUGCAGUGACCUGAUGCACUCCCGAAGCUGAAUUAGGUCUAAGCGCUGAGUAGGCUGUUCGAUGCCGGCUCUUCGUCGAAAAAUAAUAUUGGACUACACACGUAGAAGGCUAGAUAGUCCCAUGCUUGGACGAGGGUUCGAAUCCCUCCGGCUCCACUU
rnacentral:tmRNA from 1 species